CUCCAUUUUGCAAACGGUUCCGUUGGCUUGAAGAAAUCUGCACUUGAAACCUUCGGUUUUGACUUUUAACGGUCUGCACUGAUUUGGUGUAUGGGAAUCCUACUGACACUCCCACUGAAGAAGAAAAACGAAGUCAGAAAAGUCCUCCACAUGAUCGUAUAAUUCGCCAUGGGGAGGAGGCGGCAAGGAGGUCCAUGGGCUCUAACCUGGGACUAGAGGUCCAGGUGAAGUGGUUUGGCUGGGGUGUGGUGAUAUUGAACCCAUUGAGAGUAUACAGUCAUGUAAUUGGCAGGAAGACAGCACUCAAGUUCUAAUUCAAGUGGUACAAAGUUGCAUGCAAUGUCUCGAGGACUAGUGGCUCUUCAGGUUCUGGGAUUUCAAGCAGCUAUAGUGGGACUGACUCCACGAUGAAUACUUAAUGAAGAUAUUAAUGAAACACUGUUAAAAAAGUGGUGGUAGGCUGUUGAAGAUUAAUUUAGUUAAAUACAUGUAAAUACUGUACCUGUUCUCAUUCAUUCAUGUCAUUAAACAAUGGAAUUGAGUGAUCAGAUGGAUGAGAUUACAUAUUAUGUAGUGUGUAUGUGUCUGCUUUUAAGUGUAUCCACUCUUUACAUGAUACAUUUAUUUAACCAUGCUUAUAUCACAAAUUAUACAAAAGAUUGGUUGAACAAUGGAAGUAGUAUUGUGCAACACUUUAAGAGUAUGUUGAUUGAACAGGCUAAUUUCUCUGUGAUCGAUGAAUGUAACAUAGUUGCAAUUGAAGAACAUGAGUUAGUUCAGUUUUAA